rnacentral:misc_RNA from 1 species
GAAGGCGAUAUGUUUUCCCUGUCAAAGAUGGGAACAUCAUUUCAAAGUUUGAACUUGAGCAUCAGGAAAUACUUCAAAAGAAAUAUAAUGACAUAAUAAUAAAGGAAGCUUCAGAGAGACAUGAAAUUGGUGAGAAGAACACAAAUUUCAUGGGUCAAUAGGAAUUUAAUACAAUUAUCUUCCAAUAACAAGUCGAAGGCUGCACACAUACAUCACUUGAAAUACCCUUUUCCAUGAACAGGUGAAAACUUUGUUUCCAAUAGAACUCGGAAGCAAUUGACAAGCAACAAAAUGUGCCAGUCUUCAAUUUUCAACCUAUUACCAAAUAACUAGGGAGAGAACGCAAAACACAUUCACAAGGAACACCCAUCUGUCCCCAGUAUUGCUUCAUUCACUUAAUUGGUACUCUUUCCCACAUCAGUUAUUUUACAUGAUACAGAGUUACAGAUAAUUGGUAAAUAAGAACAGGAAAUAGCAAAAGAUACUUAUAGGAAAACUGAAAAUUAUACACAUUCAAAAGUUUUUUUUUUUUAACCUUCUAACGUAUUACAAAAUUAAUUUCAAGAGCCCAAUAGAGCACAGUAAAAUCAACAUGAUAAUAAACUACUACGCAUAUGUGUGCCUAAUUUGGAUUGUCAAAAAGCGAUCUGCAAUGAAAGAUUUGGGAAGCAUACGAGCUAUUUCUCAUUCAAAAAGGCACAAACAAGUUCUAUUUUAGUAACAUAACAGAAAUAGAUUCUUCAUCAC